rnacentral:ncRNA from 1 species
GUGUUUUUAUGAAAGUAAAGAAGGUUAGCAUUCCUUUUGACAUGGAGGAAAAUGAUUCAAGCUGAUCUGCUCCACCUGUGCACAGUCAGGGCAUCACCACCUCUUUCUGGCACCUAGCCAUGUUUUUGA